UCUCGUGCUGCCUGCCUCCACUGCCCAUGCCCAGCUCGGGUUGAACUGAUGGAUCUGAGCAUGUGCGAAGUUUGUUGGCUGUUGGGAGCCUUCAAUGCUGGGUAUUUUAUGCCACCUAAAACUCUGGAAGCUGGUAGACUUAUGUUGCGGGGACGUCUUUAGGAACUAAUGGACCAUGCUCACCUACGAAGCCGCUUGUGUUGAAUGCACCAACUACCUCGUCUCUGAUUUGGGUCACGAAACCGCGGCAAUCAAGUCUGGCUCUGAAUCAUGGAGACAAAGAUACUGGUGAGUUAGAUCAAGUGGAGUUGAACCGACUGUCUAAGGCUGGAUCGGUAAUCCGUAGUACUGGAUGGCAUCGACCAGCAGGAGGGCAUUGCAUUGGAGGGUGUUGGACAGCAGAAACAGGACGUACACCGACCAUAUAGGGGGUUGGAAACCUCCUCACAUGGUGCUUCAGCCUGUACCAAACUGUCAGCACUCAGCCCCGUCGAGGUGCAGGAGCUGCGAGUGGAAAGUAGUCUACUUAGGACGGAGGGCAACACCAUAGCAGCUCCGUACAUGGCAAGCCAAGGCAUUGUUGCAGCUGAUGAGAUCGUGAUGGAUAGAGCUAUGAAGAGGGUAGCGGUUUGAAACUUGGAUAGCCGGAUCAGCCAAGGAAAUACAGAGUCAUAGCCUCGCCUUUCAUCUCCCUACACAGCGAUGUCAGGGUUGCAAAUUCUUUCUUUGGUUUGCUAUUAAACGACGUGUUUGGACAGUGGAUCGCCUCGCCAAGCGGGGUCUGCCUCACGAAGCUGCUUUCCCACUUUGUGACCAGGAACAGGAAUCUGCCCAACACCUCCUGCUCACUUGUGUGUUCACCCGACAAUGCUGGGCGCUGAUCUCUCAGCAGCUGAGCCUGGCCAUCGCCGGGCCUGCCACCUUGACGACCAGUCUGUCCGCUUGGUGGUGCUCUACUAUCAAGUCUGCGCCAAGAGAAUGCCGUAAGGGCCUAAACACCCUAAUCAUCCUGGUCACAUGGGAAAUCUGGAAGCACCGAAAUGCUUGUGUGUUCGAGGGAGCUCAACCAAGUGUUCAGUGGCUCCUGCAGACAGUGUCUAGUGAGCGUGUUCUCUGGUGUUUGGCAGGAGCCUCCAAGCUCAAAGAGCUCCUUGAUAGAUCGCAGCCCCCGGCCCUUUAGGUUUUGGUGGGUGGUGGUCACGGUUUGUUUUUCUGUAAGACACUGCUAGUGGCGUGAGUUGUAACUGAGUCCAGGGGUGGUCUAAUCCAUGCAAUCUUUCUUUUCUUCUAUCUUAAAUGAAAUGACGUGCAGUCCUCGUGCAGUCCUCCUGCGCUGUUCGAGAAAAAAAAACCCUCAUACAGGGCAUGUCAAAAUGUGUAAUUUGCAUGGUCUGAAGAGUCACUGCACAUUUAAACAGAGAAACAGAGCAAAGGAAUACAAGCCACUGAGCAACAAUUGAGCAUUUCCCCAUGACAAGUUGU